rnacentral:rRNA from 1 species
CUGGCUCAGGAUGAACGCUAGCGACAGGCUUAACACAUGCAAGUCGAGGGGCAUCACGGGAGUAGCAAUACAACUGGUGGCGACCGGCGCACGGGUGAGUAACGCGUAUGCAACCUACCUAUCAGAGGGGAAUAACCCGGCGAAAGUCGGACUAAUACCGCAUAAAACAGGGGCACCGCAUGGUGAUAUUUGUUAAAGAAAUUCGCUGAUAGAUGGGCAUGCGUUCCAUUAGGUAGUUGGUGAGGUAACGGCUCACCAAGCCGACGAUGGAUAGGGGAACUGAGAGGUUGGUCCCCCACACUGGUACUGAGACACGGACCAGACUCCUACGGGAGGCAGCAGUGAGGAAUAUUGGUCAAUGGGCGGGAGCCUGAACCAGCCAAGUCGCGUGAAAGGAAGAAGGAUCUAUGGUUCGUAAACUUCUUUUGCAGGGGAAUAAAGUGCAGGACGUGUCCUGUUUUGUAUGUACCCUGAGAAUAAGGAUCGGCUAACUCCGUGCCAGCAGCCGC